AGUAGGCGGGUAAGACACUAAAGUAGGGCAGAGAAGCCUCUGGCAGGAAGGCAGUAGUCAUUGUGUCUCAUGACCUCCUCCAGGUUGGCAGAUGAGUUUCAACGUGAAUUCCAGAGUGAAGGAAACUUAUUUUGAACUAUUUACAGCCUUUAAUAAUUCAGCCAUCAGACUCCAAAUAGUCAUGCGACCAGAGCCUCUGAUGAUGGCCCCUUCUCCAGGAACUCUUACAUUGGUCUCUGAGGGAGAUCUGACUGCUGUUUCCCCAAAACAGUACCCCCUGUUAGCAGGAAACAGUUAAGAUCCAUCUUCAUCUUUAUCCUUAGUCUAAUGGCAGGUAGAUGUACUUCUUUAGAUGGGGGAAUGAGACAGCCAGGUGAGAGGGAGUCCCUGGAGAAACUCUGACCAACCUGCCCACUGAGGUGGAGCCUUGGGAAGUUUAUGUCCUUUGCAGCACUGAGGAUCCCGGCCCCACCUCUUGCAUGUGGCACCUGGAAUUCAAACUGUCUGGUGAGAAGUGCUCUAGAGGAGGGACUCUGGCCUUGCAAGAGUCCCUGUUUCUCCUUGUUUCCUUUGCAUCCAAUAAAA